CGUACACUCCUACGGGAGGCAGCAGUGGGGAAUAUUGCACAAUGGGCGCAAGCCUGAUGCAGCCAUGCCGCGUGUAUGAAGAAGGCCUUCGGGUUGUAAAGUACUUUCAGCGGGGAGGAAGGCAAUACGGUUAAUAACCGUGUUGAUUGACGUUACCCGCAGAAGAAGCACCGGCUAACUCCGUGCCAGCAGCCGCGGUAAUACGGAGGGUGCAAGCGUUAAUCGGAAUUACUGGGCGUAAAGCGCACGCAGGCGGUCUGUCAAGUCGGAUGUGAAAUCCCCGGGCUCAACCUGGGAACGGCAUUCGAAACUGGCAGGCUUGAGUCUUGUAGAGGGGGGUAGAAUUCCAGGUGUAGCGGUGAAAUGCGUAGAGAUCUGGAGGAAUACCGGUGGCGAAGGCGGCCCCCUGGACAAAGACUGACGCUCAGGUGCGAAAGCGUGGGGAGCAAACAGGAUUAGAAACCCCUGUAGUCCC
rnacentral:rRNA from 1 species